rnacentral:rRNA from 1 species
UGAAUACGAGAUGCUACGGCGUCGAAGCAGUCUAUGUCAUACUUCCAAGAAAAGCUUGCACUGUCAUAAACAAAUAAUGCCUGUACCAUAACCGACACAGGUGGGUAGGUAGAGUAUACUAAGGGGCGCGAGAUAACUCUCUCUAAGGAACUCGGCAAAAUGACUCCGUAACUUCGGGAGAAGGAGUGCCUUAUUUUAUAAGGUUGCAAUAACAAGAUCCAAGCAACUGUUUACCAAAAACACAGGUCUCCGCUAAGUCGUAAGACGAUGUAUGGGGGCUGACGCCUGCCCAGUGCCAGAAGGUUAAAGAAGUUGGUUAGCAUCCGCGAAGCUGAUAACUGAAGCCCUGGUGAACGGCGGCCGUAACGAUAACGGUCCUAAGGUAGCGAAAUUCCUUGUCGGGUAAGUUCCGACCCGCACGAAAGGCGUAAUGAUUUGGAUACUGUCUCAGAGAGGGGCUCGGUGAAAUAGACUUGUCUGUGAAGAUGCGGACUACCUGCACCAGGACAGAAAGACCCUAUGAAGCUUUACUGUAACUUGAAAUUGAAAUUGGACUUUACUUGCGCAGUAUAGGUGGGAGGCGUUGAGAAUAUUCUUGCGGGAAUGUUGGAGCCAUCAGUGAGAUACCACUCUUGUAAUGUUAGAUUUCUAACUUUGUAUCAUUAUCUGGUCAAAGGACAGUUUCAGGCGGGCAGUUUGACUGGGGCGGUCGCCUCCCAAACGGUAACGGAGGCGCACAAAGGUUUCCUCUGAACGGGUAGAAAUCGUAUCUAGAGUGUAAAGGCAUAAGGAAGCUUGACUGUGAGACCUACAAGUCGAGCAGGGACGAAAGUCGGUCUUAGUGAUCUGACGGUGCUGAGUGGAAAGGCCGUCACUCAACGGAUAAAAGUUACUCUAAGGAUAACAGGCUGAUCUCCCCCAAGAGUUCACAUCGACGGGGAGGUUUGGCACCUGGAUGUCGGCUCAUCGCAUCCUGGGGCGGUAGUACGUCCCAAGGGUUGGGCUGUUCGCCCAUGAAAGCGGUACGCGAGCUGGGUUCAGAACGUCGUGAGACAGUUCGGUCCAUAUCCGGUGUAGGCGUUAGGAUAUUGAGAGGAGCCUUCUUUAGUACGAGAGGACCGAGAAGGACAUACCUCUGGUGUACCAGUUAUCGUGCCAACGGUAAACGCUGGGUAGCUAUGUAUGGAGUGGAUAACCGCUGAAAGCAUCUAAGUGGGAAGCCCACCUCAAGAUAAGUAUUCUC